ensembl:ncRNA C33G3.10 ncRNA
UGUCAGUGCCUUUCUCUGACUGCCAAACAAAAACGCAAGAAAAUCGCAGGAGCAAUCGAGCUGCAAAAGAGCUGCGAAUGAGGCAGAAGCAUCGGGAGUAGAGAAGACGGCGCAGGAGGGGAAUGAAGAAGCGGUAUCUGAAGAGGGAGAGAAGGAUCUGAUGGAAUGAUGGCACAUUGGCACGUUUUGCUAGUGUGUCGCACGCUCAAUGUGCCAAUGUGCCAAUGCGAGAAAAAGAGCAAUCGGUGUGCGCUUCGUUUUGAGUCGGGGUGUGCCUGUGGAUCGGAAGAAGCAGCAAAAAAAAUCGUUGAGUGAGUGAGGCGACAGCAAUCCCAG